CCUACGGGAGGCAGCAGUGGGGAAUAUUGGACAAUGGGCGAAAGCCUGAUCCAGCAAUGCCGCGUGAGUGAUGAAGGCCUUCGGGUCGUAAAGCUCUUUUACCAGGGAUGAUAAUGACAGUACCUGGAGAAUAAGCUCCGGCUAACUCCGUGCCAGCAGCCGCGGUAAUACGGAGGGAGCUAGCGUUGUUCGGAAUUACUGGGCGUAAAGAGUACGUAGGCGGUUAUUCAAGUCAGAGGUGAAAGCCCGGGGCUCAACCCCGGAACUGCCUUUGAAACUAGAUAACUAGAGUCUUGGAGAGGUUAGUGGAAUUCCGAGUGUAGAGGUGAAAUUCGUAGAUAUUCGGAAGAACACCAGUGGCGAAGGCGACUAACUGGACAAGUACUGACGCUGAGGUACGAAAGCGUGGGGAGCAAACAGGAUUAGAUACCCUGGUAGUCCACGCCGUAAACGAUGAUAACUAGUUGUUCGGUCACUUGGUGACUGAGUGACGCAGCUAACGCAUUAAGUUAUCCGCCUGGGGAGUACGGUCGCAAGNUUAAAACUUAAAGGAAUUGACGG
rnacentral:rRNA from 1 species